CCCUGUUCAGUCACUCAGCAUCUUGUUUCAAUGAUAUUAUCUUUCAUUCUUAACUCCUAGAUACAGCUCUGACAAUAAAGUGUUUAAACUAAUUUGUUGAUAUACUAUAAAGUGAGGGAAGAGACGAUAAUGGGGGAGAGGGAAAAUGUAAGAAAUCUGUAGAAUGAAUUGUGUUUUGGGGCAUGGAUUUAAGUUUCUGGAAAACUGACUUGUCAGAUUAUCAGCUUUUAAAUGGUGAAUGCAUUUCAUUGGGGGGGGAAAAAAAUUACUCAAUUGAAGUAUUGUACCAAUUGACCAAAAAUGUUGCUUUUACAGGCUAUUUGGUUGUUCUAUCUAUUUGCAUUUCUUGGGACAACAGCUGAAUUAUUUUUUUGUCCUAAUCUGGCAGCCAUUGCUGCAAGUUUAAAAUUAUCGCAUAAUGUGGCAGUAUCCUUUUUCUAACAUCUUUGCCACCAUUAUCUGAUAUUUGCUUGUACAGUAGCACCUCGACAUACAAACGACCCCAUUCACGAACAAAUCAGUUUACGAACAGGAUUGUACGUAUCUUUUUUGUACAUACAGAACAAAGUUCUUUUUAUUUUUGCAUUUUCUCAAUGAGUUCUGUAUCAAAUGACCAUAUAAAUGUCUUUUUAAAAUUGUGUACAUACAGUUUGGGGACAUGGGGGAUUGUCCAUUGCAAUUGAUUCUGUUUGACUUUUUUCCUUGAUUGGAUUUU